rnacentral:rRNA from 1 species
AACGACUCUCGGCAACGGAUAUCUCGGCUCUCGCAUCGAUGAAGAACGUAGCGAAAUGCGAUACUUGGUGUGAAUUGCAGAAUCCCGCGAACCAUCGAGUCUUUGAACGCAAGUUGCGCCCGAAGCCAUUAGGUUGAGGGCACGUCUGCCUGGGCGUCUCACGU